UGUUCAUGUAUUGUGUCGUUUUGGUUCACGUGGUUGUGGUCAGUUUUGUUCGUGUUUGGCGGGAGUUAAAUAGAGGCAGCCAUUGCCGACAGGCGGACAGAUGACAGUGUCGUUUUGAUACAGAUUUUAGCUGAUACAUUGUCCUGGUAAUCCAGACGAAAUUCUUACUAAGACCCUUGACCCAUUGUCAGGGGUCUUUUCUGUAUCAUUAAAUAAAAGACCGGAACCUGAAA